CUCCCAAAGUGCUGUGAUUAUAGGCCACCUGACAGUGAAAAGAGCAAUUUGAAGAAAAACAAAAUUUAUCUUCAAUGUGAAAAGCAAUUUAUAAAAAUCCGAAUACUUGCCAGGAGCAACUUGACAAAAAAGACAAAGGUGGUAGAAGAAAUGUAACCAGCCCACAAUUCCAAUGUUGAUAACAGAUGAGCUCCCUUUCAAGGUGACUGACAUUUACACAAGUACACAGAGCAAGAAGAAGGUCUGAGUGAACUGCCAAGCAUUUUAACUUCUCCUGAGACCAAGUACAUCAACAGUUCUCUUGGAAAAGAACAACUGAUUUGGGAGUCUAGCAGACUGCCAGCUGCAAGACAUUCAUCCAGCAUCAGGAACACAAUGGGCCUUCAUUUGCCUGCCUUUCUGAGGGCACCAAUCAAAAGUAACAGCUGCCACCUUUUUCUAUGAGACUUGAUUAUAAUUUUCUAUGGCCAAGGGUUUGCUGUGACACUUCCACAUCAUUCUUCAGUAUGUAGUCCAGAGAUUAGCUACAGAUUCAAGAAACACAGACUGUAAACUAUUAUAUACAGACAUAUCUCAAAAUAAGCAUACCCAUUAGUGCCAGCUGCCCUGAAAGACUGAAUGACCCCAGCUAUUUUCCAAAUGUUUUUUCAGAAAGCCAUGAACACACCUUUCUGGGAUCCUAUCUAUUUCAAAGACAGGCAAAGCUCUGUGGUUCAGUUCCACCACCCAGUACCAAGCCCACAGUAUGCAGACCAUACGCCUUACACAUGGCCUUUUCUCUUUAUGUAAUUGCUGUACCAUAUUCAGCAGAUCUAGACUGACUCAAAGCAUGUUCCCUCAAGAAGCUCCACAGAAAAAAAGGUUUCUGUGAUCAAAAAUCAUUUGGGAAAUGCUGCAAACCCUAUCUGCCUCUUAGAGCUUAACCAUGCAUGUCGGGGCAUAAUAUAAACCUUUUCCAGUCUGGGCCACAGAGUGAGACCCCACCUCUAAAAUAAUAAAUCAAUAAACUCUUGAGAAGUACACAGAAAAGAAACUUCUGUAACUUUUUAGGUCUUAAUUACAAGCAAUUGUAGCUUAA
rnacentral:lncRNA from 1 species